GUUAUAUACAGGGGGUACUGGUACAGAGUCAAUGUGGAGGCUAUAUACAGGGGGUACUGGUACAGAGUCAAUGUGGAGGCUAUAUACAGGGUAUUACGGUACAGAGUCAAUGUGGAGACUAUAUACAGGGGGUACCGGUACAGAGUCAAUGUGGAGGCUAUAUACAGGGUAUUACGGUACAGAGUCAAUGUGGAGGCUAUACACAGGGUAUUACAGUACAGAGUCAAUGUGGAGGCUAUAUACAGGGUAUUACGGUACAGAGUCAAUGUGGAGGCUAUAUACAGGGGGUACUGGUACAGAGUCAAUGUGGAGACUAUAUACAGGGGGUACCGGUACAGAGUCAAUGUGGAGGCUAUAUACAGGGUAUUACGGUACAGAGUCAAUGUGGAGGCUAUAUACACGGGGUACCGGUACAGAGUCAAUGUGGAGGCUAUAUACAGGGGGUACCGGUACAGAGUCAAUGUGGAGGCUAUAUACAGGGUAUUACGGUACAGAGUCAAUGUGGAGGCUAUAUACAGGGUGUUACGGUACAGAGUCAAUCUGGAGGCUAUAUACAGGGGGCACGGGUGCUGAGUCAAUGUGUGGGGGCGCCGGUUAGUUGAGGUAGUAUGUACAUGUAGGUAGAGUUAAUUAAAGUGACUAUGCAUAGAUGACAACAGAGAGUGGCAGUGGUGUGGAGAGGUGGGGGGUGAAUUGUCUGGGUAGUCCUUUGACUAGGUGUUCAGGAGUCUUAUGGCUUGGGGGUAGAAGCAGUUAAGAAGCCUCUUGGACCUCGACUUGGCACUCCGGUACCGCUUGCUGUGGGGUAGCAGAGAGAACAGUCUAUGGCUAGGGUGGCUGGAGUCUUUGACAAUUCUUUAGUCUUUCCUCUGACACCGCCUGGUAUAGAGGUCCUGGAUGGCAGGAAGCUUGGCCCCAGUGAUGUACUGGGCCGUACGCACUGCCCUCUGUGCCUUGCGGUCAGAGGCCGGGUAGUUGCCAUACCA
ensembl:lncRNA